GAUGGCAGAUGAUCGCUGGUGAGCCGCUUACGGCUUGCUGGAGGAAAGUCCGAACACCAUACGGCGACAUGCCGCGUAAAACACGCGGGCACCGCAGUUGCAAGAUUGCGGUGACGGAGAGUGUCACAGAAAAGACACCGCCGGUUCUUUGGCAACUAUGGGCAACUGUAGGGGAAGCUGUCAGCUUCCCGCGUCUGGGACAGGCAAGGGUGAAAAGGCGAGGUAAGAGCUCACCGCUCGCGGAGCAAUUCGCGAGGCAGGAAAAACCCCAUGCGGUGCAAGACAAAACAGAGGGAGGGCAGCCGGCCCGUUAACCCUCGGGUAUCGUCGCAUCACGACAGACGUAAGCCUGUUGGACGCUCGGAGAAAUUCGGGUGAGAUAAAUGAUCAUCCGCGUGAGCAAUCACGCCGACAGAAUUCGGCUUACCGCCAUCAAAU
rnacentral:RNase_P_RNA from 1 species